rnacentral:rRNA from 1 species
CCUGGCUCAGGACGAACGCUGGCGGCGUGCUUAACACAUGCAAGUCGAACGGAGCGAAUGAAAGCUUGCUUUUAUAAGCUUAGUGGCAAACGGGUGAGUAACACGUAGGCAACCUGCCGACAGUAUGGGGACAACAUUCCGAAAGGAAUGCUAAUACCGAAUGAAGCGCAGGAGAGGCAUCUCUCCUGCGUGAAAGAUGGCCUCUAUAUAUAAGCUAUCACCUGUCGAUGGGCCUGCGUCUGAUUAGCUGGUAGGUGAGGUAACGGCUCACCUAGGCGACGAUCAGUAGCCGGUCUGAGAGGAUGAACGGCCACAUUGGGACUGAGACACGGCCCAGACUCCUACGG